UAUCAAUAAGCGGAGGAAAAGAAACCAACAGGGAUUGCCCCAGUAACGGCGAGUGAAGCGGCAACAGCUCAAAUUUGAAAUCUGGCCCCCCCCGGGGGGCCCGAGUUGUAAUUUGCAGAGGAUGCUUUGGGCGAGGCGCCUUCCGAGUUCCCUGGAACGGGACGCCACAGAGGGUGAGAGCCCCGUCUGGUCGGACGCCGAGCCUCUGUAAAGCUCCUUCGACGAGUCGAGUAGUUUGGGAAUGCUGCUCAAAAUGGGAGGUAUAUGUCUUCUAAAGCUAAAUACCGGCCAGAGACCGAUAGCGCACAAGUAGAGUGAUCGAAAGAUGAAAAGCACCUUGAAAAGGGGGUUAAACAGUACGUGAAAUUGUUGAAAGGGAAGCGCUCGUGACCAGACUUGGGGCGGGCGGAUCAGCCGGCGUUCUCGCCGGCGCACUCCGCCCGUCCCAGGCCAGCAUCAGUUCGCGCCGGGGGACAAAGGCGGCGGGAACGUGGCUCCAGGGAGUGUUA
rnacentral:rRNA from 1 species